UGGAUAGUCCUGGAGACUGGAGUCCUCUGUUUACAGCACUGGUAUAGCAUGUGCAGUACAACAUUAGUGUGUGCUUCCCCAUGCUGUCCUGCCAAUGUGCCUCAAACCUGUUCUGCAGGGACCACCACCGUGCUUUACAUAUCCGUUUUCCUUCCAUUCAACUAACACUGUG
ensembl:misc_RNA